GACGAACGCUGGCGGCGUGCCUAAUACAUGCAAGUUGAGCGCUGAAGGUUGGUACUUGUACCAACUGGAUGAGCAGCGAACGGGUGAGUAACGCGUGGGGAAUCUGCCUUUGAGCGGGGGACAACAUUUGGAAACGAAUGCUAAUACCGCAUAAAAACUUUAAACACAAGUUUUAAGUUUGAAAGAUGCAAUUGCAUCACUCAAAGAUGAUCCCGCGUUGUAUUAGCUAGUUGGUGAGGUAAAGGCUCGCCAAGGCGAUGAUACAUAGCCGACCUGAGAGGGUGAUCGGCCACAUUGGGACUGAGACACGGCCCAAACUCCUACGGGAGGCAGCAGUAGGGAAUCUUCGGCAAUGGACGAAAGUCUGACCGAGCAACGCCGCGUGAGUGAAGAAGGUUUUCGGAUCGUGAAACUCUGUUGGUAGAGAAGAACGUUGGUGAGAGUGGAAAGCUCAUCAAGUGACGGUAACUACCCAGAAAGGGACGGCUAACUACGUG
rnacentral:rRNA from 1 species